rnacentral:rRNA from 1 species
GGCUGUUCGCCAUUUAAAGUGGUACGCGAGCUGGGUUUAGAACGUCGUGAGACAGUUCGGUCCCUAUCUGCCGUGGGCGCUGGAGAACUGAGGGGGGCUGCUCCUAGUACGAGAGGACCGGAGUGGACGCAUCACUGGUGUUCGGGUUGUCAUGCCAAUGGCACUGCCCGGUAGCUAAAUGCGGAAGAGAUAAGUGCUGAAAGCAUCUAAGCACGAAACUUGCCCCGAGAUGAGUUCUCCCUGAGACUUWRRGUCUCCUGAAGGAACGUUGAAGACGACGACGUUGAUAGGCCGGGUGUGUAAGCGCAGCGAUGCGUUGAGCUAACCGGUACUAAUGAACCGUGAGGCUUAACCUUACAACGCCGAAG